rnacentral:rRNA from 1 species
UACGUAGGGUGCAAGCGUUGUCCGGAAUCAUUGGGCGUAAAGGGCGCGUAGGCGGCUUUGUAAGUCCGUUGUGAAAUCCCUCGGCUCAACCGAGGAACUGCGACGGAUACUGCUCGGCUUGAGUCCCGGAGAGGGUAGCGGAAUUCCCAGUGUAGCGGUGAAAUGCGUAGAUAUUGGGAGGAACACCAGUGGCGAAGGCGGCUCACUGGACCGGAACUGACGCUGAGGCGCGAAAGCGUGGGGAGCAAACAGG